rnacentral:rRNA from 1 species
UACGUAGGGUGCAAGCGUUGCCCGGAUUUAUUGGGCGUAAAGGGCGCGUAGGCGGUCACGCACGUCCGUUGUGAAAUCGCUCGGCUCAACUGGGCGGGGUCAGCGGAUACGGCGUGGCUGGAGCAAGCUAGGGGGCAAUGGAAUUCCCGGUGUAGUGGUGGAAUGCGUAGAUAUCGGGAGGAACACCAGUGGCGAAGGCGGUUGCCUGGAGCUUUGCUGACGCUGAUGCGCGAAAGCGUGGGGAGCGAGCCGG